GGGCCGUUAGCUCAUCUGGUAGAGCGCUUGCAUGGCAUGCAAGAGGUGGUCGGUUCGAGUCCGAUACGGUCCA
rnacentral:tRNA from 1 species